ensembl:lncRNA
GUGGUAUAUUGUAAAACACAAAAUUAUAAAAAAAAAACACAUAACUGUACAAGGAACCAAACCAGAAGUAACUUCAGGGUGGGCCAAGGCCAAAAUAAUAGACAAAAGAAUUCUCUUGUUAGGUACCUAGCUUAACUAAAAGGAACAUAAAGAAAAUACAAGUACUUCCCUAACUACCUAAGCCAAAAACAGAGACAAAGGACCCUCUCCCAAAAGAAAUGGCAGCCACACCCCUACUGCAGGUGAACCAAGUGAAUCAUAUAUACAAUGCUGAAUAGAAUGCACAUAAACAGGUACAAAUAAACUCAAAGUCCAAAAACCAGAACAGCAGUCAGAAAAUAGCAUACAAGCAGCACAACCAAACACACUCUCUUAACAGAAACACAUGUAACCACCUCCAACAUCCCACGCCAUUCUCACUCCUCUUCCUCUUUAAACAUGGCCGCCAUUUAGUGACAUCAUCCUGGGAGGUGGAAGCAAGGCAGGCUGGAAACUCUGGGAGGGAGUUCGGACCUGCACACAAAAUAUGGCACUGCACACAAAAAGAAACCUUCCUGUCCCAGAUAGCGGGUUGUAACAAUGCAUACGGUAAGCUAGUUAAACUUUAGCUUGCGCCUGCAGUUGUGAGUUAGCGUAGUGAGUAGUGUUACUGCUUUGUGUUCCAAGGGUUGCUGGUUCAAAGCUCAACUGGGGUCAUGUUUGCAGAGUUUCAUGCUUGCUCCUGGGCCAGUGUGGGUUUCCUACAGGUUCUCCAGUUUUCGCCCACCAAGUCAAAACAUGGCAUUUAAUGCUUUAGCUAAAAGUCUGACUUGUGAGACGACUGAGACUCUGACCAGGACGAAUAUGUAGAUGAUUGAAUGAAUUGUUUCAGCAUGAUUCUGAUGCUCAAACUGACAUGUAAGUAAUAGUAAAAUCUAAGGUUCAACCAAUGAACCUAAACAAUAACUAGUUUUUGGAUGAAAACCUUCAACCAAAGGCAUAAUUAUUUUUUAAGUAUGCAUACUCAAAAUUCUAGAAUGCAUGCUUAUUUGUUAAGUAUGCAUAUAAACUUUGUGUCCAUACUUAAUUUGUGUACAAUUUUUUUUUUAAAAAAAGCUUACAUAUUUUGCAUACUUAUUGUUUAGUAUUUGUACAGAUUUCUACUUUCAUAUUUCUUUGCUUAAAACUUCUAUGUACUAGUAAAUUAGGUCAAUGUUACUUAGUAAAUUAAUUCAUAGGGUAAGCUAGUUAAUUUUUAGCUUGAACUUAAAAAACAAGUAGGCAUACUAGAAUUGUAAGUCCACUUUCGGUUCAACUUCAACUUUUGGACAGGUGGCCUCACAUUAUCUUCAAGCACUCUUUGAUAAGAUGCAGAAUUCAUAGUUAAAUCAAUUAAUCCAACCUGUCCAGUCCCUGAGGCGGCUAAGGCACCCCAAACCCUAACAUUUCCACCACCGUGCUUCACAAAUGGUAUCAGGUGCUUCUCCUGAAAAGCUGUCUUUGGUCUGCACUAAAGUGUCUGCUGUUACUGUGGUCAAACAACUCUAUUGUUGAUCCAUCUGUUCAAGACAAAUUAUUCCAAAAGGUCUGGUCUUUGCCUAUAUGCUCAUUGGCCAACCGAAAGGCUUUUUCCUGGCAUGCUUCCCAUGCAGGCCAAAUUUGUGCAAUUUCUUUCUGAUUGGAGAAGCAUGCAUUUUGACACCAACAGUUACAAGACUUACUAGCGGAGCCUAUGAUGAAAUUUUGGGGUUCUUGGAGACUUCUUUUUGCAUCAGACGGUCGGCUCUUGGGCUGAAUUUAGGCUUGGCAAGAUAUUACCCCCGAAGAAGAUGACGCUUCCUAGCAGCACUGCUCCCUGAGCCCGCGCCCAUGUUCAGCUGCAAGCCUCCUGGGUCCAGCCUCGAUGCUGCUCCCCACGCUGGGACGACCGUGAUGACACCCAUCUUCACCUUUAUUCCACACUCCCUCACCAUCCCCUUCCCCACUUUAAUUAAAUUUAAAAGAGUACUUUUUUUGUCCAACUUUUGCCUCCCACGCGUCUGUCUUCAUCCUGCCACAGUCUUGAGUAGCUACACCACACACGUUCCCAACAACCCAUCAAUCACUGUUCACCAUUGUGCCCAACAAGAAAACAUUCUUGUUCUUGAUAGAA